CCUACGGGAGGCAGCAGUAGGGAAUCUUCCACAAUGGACGAAAGUCUGAUGGAGCAACGCCGCGUGAGUGAUGAAGGCCUUCGGGUCGUAAAACUCUGUUGUUAGGGAAGAACCAGUACCGUUCGAAUAGGGCGGUACCUUGACGGUACCUAACCAGAAAGCCACGGCUAACUACGUGCCAGCAGCCGCGGUAAU
rnacentral:rRNA from 1 species